AUGUCAUUUGUUCGAAUCCGAACAAUCAUUCAUCAGAGUUUACUUAUCUCCCGGUUGAGCUCUAGAAAACCGGACACAUUAUUAGCUAAAGAGCUUUCAACUUUUUUUUCUUCCUUCUUCACUUGUUUUGUUUUCAUGUAUCUCUCUUGUUCAACCAGGUUUGAAUGCAUUUUGAUUACUACAAGAGGUUCUUAUUUGUUGUUAUUUGUCUUACGUUUUGCCAUAAAAAUAAAUUACUUGCUGAUGAUGAUUAUUAUUAAUAUUAUUAUUAUUUUUGUUGAAUUUCAAGAAUUGAUUUGA